CAGCCGCCACGGUAAUACGUAGGUGGCAAGCGUUGUCCGGAAUUAUUGGGCGUAAAGGGCCCGCAGGCGGUUUCUUAAGUCUGAUGUGAAAGCCCCCGGCUCAACCGGGGAGGGUCAUUGGAAACUGGGAAGCUUGAGUGCAGAAGAGGAGAGUGGAAUUCCACGUGUAGCGGUGAAAUGCGUAGAGAUGUGGAGGAACACCAGUGGCGAAGGCGACUCCCUGGUCUGUAACUGACGCUGAGGAGCGAAAGCGUGGGGAGCGAACAGGAUUAGAUACCCGUGUAGUCCCUGUCUCUUAUAC
rnacentral:rRNA from 1 species